ensembl:lncRNA
GAACAAGAUGUCCAUAAGUGGAAUCCUUGACUUACCUCUUCUAGCAACAGUUUUUUUUUUUUUACAAGUGCAGGAAAAAAAUGUUGCCUGCUUUUCAGAGUGCAAGAGGUCAUAGGCAUUCAACACACUUGGCACACUCCUCGUGAGGAACAGGAGAGCAGUUGGCUGCUCUUUGUAUAUAUGUAUACGUGUACAGAUGCUGCGGCCUCUUUUCUACACGUGUUAUCUUUUGCCAGACUUCGUUUGUGAGUAUUACAACAUAAGAUAAAAGCAGUAUAUUCCCCCCCCAAGUUUCACAUCAGCAAUUUGAUCAACCUUCCACCCUGAGCCUUUCGACUUGGUAACUGCAGUCUGUGUAAAUGAGGAAACUGUCCUCAUCUCAGCACCCUCAGUCACAGUGUCAGCACAUUUGCUAGGGAUGGGUUGCAACGCUGCCUCUGAAAAACACGAUCUUUAAGCUCUGCAGCUUGUGGAGAUGAUCUGGUUAUCCAGUUCAGCCUUUGGUCUGGGAUGGAAAUUCCUUAUGUAGUUUCUUUUUUUUUUUGUCUGAGUAAAUGUGGAUAACGCAGCCUCUGGUUUUGCUAGAAAUACAUCUCUAGCUGACUAAUCCUGCCAGCCUACGUAAGUGGAAAACCUGGCAGCCUUGAAUAAUACCACAGUAUUUUGACACAAGUGUUUACUGAAAGAAAAAAAACAAAGUAGGCUCAAUGCUCUGACUGCAGAAGGCCCCCAAUACAAACUUAUCAGUAGAGGUGGCAACUGAAGUACUUUGGAACCUUCCUCGUUGUAGCUGUCACUACUUGAAGAGAGUUACAGUUCUUGAGUGUGAGAAAGCAAGAUUGACACAGCAGGAGUGGUAUUUUAGAGCUGGAGAAGUGGCUUGCUACAGCUCUGUUUAUUAGCCCUGGCAGAAGAAAAUUGUGAGUACAUUUUUUUUCCUUUUUUUUCCUAAUUCCUUACUGUUAUUUCCAUACCCUCCUAUAGACUCCAAACUCCUUGUAAAGCCAGUUUUAAUGUAAUAAUCUGCUAUUAACAGAGAGCGUUUCAGUUCUUCAGGCUUGCCACAGGAGCCCACAUACUUUCCCACUGGGCCUUUCUGAAUCUUUCUGAAUGUAGCAUCUCAGAGCAGGAUCAACUUUUGCACCUGGAUGGCCUGGCAGCUGCCUGGGUCAGCAGCCCUGCGUAGUGUUUUUGACAGGUACAACAGCUGCUUGUUUACAAGGAAAACCUUUGAUAGCAAUAUCAUAACUACAAAGCAGAAGAGGAGAUGUCUCUUAGCAGAAAAGAAAAAAAAAAAAAGUCUUGUGUAACAACAUCCUGUCCUUCUGCAUCUGGGCCAUCAGCUGAUUCUGGUGUUUCUUGACUCUGUAUUGUUCUUGAUGUGUCAGGAGCUGACUGCUUUCUCAAGGCCUCUCUGAAAGCAAUGUUGGUGCGUUGAUGCAAUGGCACUCUUUUCUCUCAUUCCAUGUCGGUGAAGUUCAUUGUUGGUCAUCUUGUUAAAGACCAGUGCCUGAUCUGGACUUUCAUCUUGUUAUCUUGAUGUUAUGGAUUGCACCGGAAUGCUGCUCUUACUACCACGUUUUCACCUGGUGUUACUGGUAGCUGUUGCAUGGGGCUUGAAAGCUGGAGGAAUCAAAGGUGGGCUCAGGAUGUCUCACAGGUGGUUAUCAGUCUUCUUCCUCUGAAAAUGAAUUUUUUUUUACAAUGCCUGCUCCAGGCCAAGCUGUCAGGCUCUUCUGAUUUCUGCCGACCUUUUGUCUGCCAACACCCAAAGUCAGGUGGGUGUGUGAACCAUAUCCAGCUGCAGCAGGUGAGCUGGAGCACCUGAUGCUUUUAUUGAAAUUACAUCCUCUUCUCUGAAAUAGAGUUCCUAAAGUCUGUUGGAGCAGCCUUGCCCGUGCAAGCGAAGCCAUGGCAGGUUGCUGCAGCACUGGGGAGGCUGCAAAGAGACCCGUGGGCCAGGGGCUGCAGUGGAAUAGGGCAUGGGGGCACAGGGUAGCACCAGGCAAGGGGCAGCUUGUUCCAUUCAGCUGUUGCAACAUUUCGGGCUCCUGAAGACACUUUGUAAGGUUUCCUCCUUU